GAGACCUAGGGCUUGGACAAAACGUCUAGAGCCACAGCAUUCCUAGCUGGCUCUCCCCUUGAACACUGAGCAGAAGGCUGGGGCUGAGGGAGGCAGAGUAGAGGGGAAGGCAGGCUGGAGGAGAGGCAGGGACAGGGAGAGCCGGGGCCGGGGUAAGGCACUCCGAGGCUGUGGGAUGACAGGGCCAGGGGAGGCUGGGGGAGGAAAGUAGUUUGAAGGUAGGAGGGUGGGGUGGCAAUAGGAACCGGGCUAAGGUGGGAGAAAGGUGAGGCUGAUGAGAGGCCACGAUUAAGGUGCCAUAGUUGGAAGAGCAAUGCUAGGCUAAAGGAGGGAUAAAGAUGGGGGAAAAGCUAGGAGAACUGGAAAAGGAGGAGGAGGCCAGGUAGAGAAGUGACAGUGAGUCAACUGAGACUUGGGUGGCAGGUGCUGAAGUAUGACUUUCUUCUACAUGGAAAAGGAGAAUGAGUGUAAGAGAAACUGAAGAAACCUAGUACAAGAACUAGACAAGGUUUGAGGUGAGACAGGUAGCAAGACCAAAAUCUAGACAUAAAGGAGACAGGAAUUCAGUAUUCCAGCUUUAGCAGUGAGGAUUCUGUUUUCCUUUUCCUGCCAUGGAUGUAAUGCUGGUUUGGACAGCGGCCGACGUCCAAUCAGACAACAGGAUCAUAGGCCUUGUCAUAAUGACAACCAUGACAUCACUGCAAGGGCUCGUGGAAAGAAGACAGCGGAGCUCCAGAGAGAAAGAGAGCGGGGCUGCACAGUGCUGCACGGCGGCCACGGAGCGCCAGAUGCCGGAUCGAAACCGCGCGGACUACCGGGGAUUGCUGGGACAUGCGGAGGGGUGCCGGAUGGACGUUUCACGCCCGAGCGUCGGGAGCUCUGUCCCGGACAAGUUGUGGCUUUCCUCGCCGGGGGGGAAAAGCGAAAGGAGGAUAUGGAGGAGGUUGAGCGAAAUGGCAUCUUGUUUAAUUUCUGCCAAUCAAGACGAGAGGAAGACAACUCCCAAACUGGCAUGACAUAAGAGAAGAGUGAAGACUCGAUCAAGACACCAGGACAAUGCAUGAACCGGAUGGCAAAUGGGAACUGAGGAGCAGCGGCUGCUGUAAUCUCCGCUGUUCAAUUUGCUGCAUUGACCAGGACGCCACCUACACUUCAUUAACAGGGAGGGGAAGGUGAAGCUGACGGUGUAACAUCAACAUCAGGAGCACAAGAGGUGUAGAGUAAAUGAGAGCCUGCUGUCAGCAGUGUGAGCCAUUUCCAGGUGAAGCAAACUGAGUUAAAGUGAAUCGAGCUGAACUGAUCUGAACUGGAAUGACCUGAACUGAACUGAAAGGAAAGCCUCAGUUGGACAGGGCACAUAGCUCUCUGAGGAUUUGGGUAAAAAUGUUCAGGCAGAGAAAUAUGGAUGAAAACCUUCUGUUAUUUAUGUUUGGGGGGUGGGGGUCCUGCUAGAUUUCUUAUGCUUUAUUUUCAAUAUAUUGUGUAUAUUCACAUUAUCAAAAAGCAUGAAUUUUGACACUGCACAAUUACGGUUUUCUCUUGCACACAGAGCUUAUUUUUUAAAUUCAUCAACAGUGUUUCCAUCCAAAUGUAUCACAAAUUGUAACCACAUUUUGAGUAAUUAUGCAUCCACUGCUGGUAUAUGAUUAUUACAAGUUUGUUCAUGAGAUAAGCAGUCGGUUAAAAUAACAGCAGUCGAACCCAUAAAAAAAACAGUGCUAAAAAUAGGUGUAAAUAUGACAUUUGUGUUUAUUUAUAUGAAUGUGAGGAAGUUACUAAUCUAAUUUGUGUGGAGCGAUCAAGGAUGUAUUACAGAGGAAUGAGGAGAUUGUCGGAGUGACUGAGUUAAAUGUUUAUUAUGUCAGAACUUAUUAGGAAAAUUGUUUCCAAACCUAAGUUUAGGGCAUUAAUUAAAACCGAAUGAACUUAAAAACUUUAUUUUGUUUUUUCCAUCAAAUUUGUCUAACUCGAUUUUUCAAAAUAUGCAUCGAAAUACAGCAGCUGUCAACUUAGUUUAUUUCUGUGUCUCUUGAUUUUUUUUUUUUUUAAGUUUAAAGUCAUUUAAACUCUGAGCUCGAGCUAAAUUUGUGUUAUUUAUUUAUCUUAUUUAUAUCAAGAACUGCUGUGUUAAGAAACUGAGCUCCUUGUAUCCGGGGCCUAAAAAAAUGUUUUAAGAUCAUUUCAAGAUAAGUUAGACGAAGUCAAAUAUUGCACUUCAUCUUCUAGAUGUAAUGUUUGUGUGUGUCAUUGCUCUUAUAGUGUUUAACGCAGCAGCUAAACAGGAAGAAAAAAAUGAUGAUAUGUUAUGUUGCUGCUUCAAACUGGCCAAAAAAUAAAA